rnacentral:rRNA from 1 species
UGGGGAAUUUUGGACAAUGGGCGCAAGCCUGAUCCAGCCAUGCCGCGUGAGUGACGAAGGCCUUAGGGUUGUAAAACUCUUUCGUCGGGGACGAUAAUGACGGUACCCGAAGAAGAAGCUCCGGCUAACUUCGUGCCAGCAGCCGCGGUAAUACGAAGGGAGCUAGCGUUGUUCGGAAUCACUGGGCGUAAAGCGCACGUAGGCGGAUAGUUAAGUCAGGGGUGAAAUCCUGGGGCUCAACCCCAGAACUGCCUUUGAUACUGGCUGUCUCGAGGUCGAGAGAGGUUGGUGGAAUUCCUAGUGUAGAGGUGAAAUUCGUAGAUAUUAGGAAGAACACCGGUGGCGAAGGCGGCCCACUGGACCGGUAUUGACGCUGAGGUGCGAAAGCGUGGGGAGCAAACAGGAUUAGAUACCCGAGUAGUCCCUGAGCGGGCUGGCAAGGCGCAU